rnacentral:lncRNA from 1 species
CUAGCUCCAGCCCUUCUCCUAAAUUGGGAAGCGACGAGACCCGAUCGAGUUUCCCGGCCGGCAACAUGCCCGAGUGCUGUGAACGUUAUGAGAGGGCCUUGUUGGGAACACGUGCUCCUGGGAAUCAGCCCUUCCCUCUGUCCUGUUCCCACUCCUCCCCGACGAUGCUCCUGCUCAGAACCCACUCCUCACCUCAGUGAAGCAACGCAGCGGGCACCCUGUGGACAAAGCUGGAUAUUGGCUCUGAAUAAAAGCGAAUCAUGGGGA